rnacentral:rRNA from 1 species
GACGAACGCUGGCGGCGUGCCUAAUACAUGCAAGUCGAACGCACUCUCGUUUAGAUUGAAGGAGUUUGCUCCUGAUUGAUAAACAUUUGAGUGAGUGGCGGACGGGUGAGUAACACGUGGGUAACCUGCCCUAAAGUGGGGGAUAACAUUUGGAAACAGAUGCUAAUACCGCAUCAAACCUAACACCGCAUGGUGUAGGGUUGAAAGAUGGUUUCGGCUAUCACUUUAGGUUGGACCCGCGGUGCAUUAGUUAGUUGGUGAGGUAAAGGCUCACCAAGACCGUGAUGCAUAGCCGACCUGAGAGGGUAAUCGGCCACACUGGGACUGAGACACGGCCCAGACUCCUACGGGAGGCAGCAGUAGGGAAUCUUCCACAAUGGACGAAAGUCUGAUGGAGCAACGCCGCGUGAGUGAAGAAGGUGUUCGGAUCGUAAAACUCUGUUGUUGGAGAAGAAUGUAUCUGAUAGUAACUGAUCAGGUAGUGACGGUAUCCAACCAGAAAGCCACGGCUAACUACGUG